AGGAAGGAAGACAUAUUCUGGCAAACUUAACAUUAAUGCCAGGAACAAGUCUAGAUUGGAUUUUCAUAGGUGAUUUGAGAGUACUUAAGGAAAAGACAUGAUCAUUUAGAGCCAGCCUAAGUUUACCAAAAACAGGUUAAGCCACACUAACUUUAUUUUUCAGAUAAGAUUAGCAUAUUCGUAGUCUGGAAAAUGCUAUACAAAGAAUGUAAAGCAUGAAACUACUUGUGGACCAAAUGAAAAACUGUGGAGCAGAUUAUGAUGCAGUUAGACCUUGCUUGAAUGACUUUGACCCACAAAAGCAGAGAGAUUGCCCUACGUGUAACAGCUGCAUACAAAAAAGUUAUAAAAUUAUCAUUGGUUUAACAAGGAUAAGUGAAAAACAUUAAAAUUCUCCAACUGAACAAGGUAUGCAAGGAUUUUUAUCUUGUUGUUGUUUUGUUAAAAUAGUAAGAGCAAAAUAACUUACUGGAAUAUAAAGAUAAGAGCUGAAUGAGCAUGCCACUAAUGGAGAAAGGGGGUAUUUUCACAGAAUCAGUAUUUUU
rnacentral:lncRNA from 1 species